rnacentral:rRNA from 1 species
CAUGCAAGUCGAGCGAACCGACGGGAGCUUGCUCCCUUAGGUUAGCGGCGGACGGGUGAGUAACACGUGGGUAACCUGCCUGUAAGACUGGGAUAACUCCGGGAAACCGGGGCUAAUACCGGAUGCUUGAUUGAACCGCAUGGUUCAAUUAUAAAAGGUGGCUUUUAGCUACCACUUACAGAUGGACCCGCGGCGCAUUAGCUAGUUGGUGAGGUAACGGCUCACCAAGGCGACGAUGCGUAGCCGACCUGAGAGGGUGAUCGGCCACACUGGGACUGAGACACGGCCCAGACUCCUACGGGAGGCAGCAGUAGGGAAUCUUCCGCAAUGGACGAAAGUCUGACGGAGCAACGCCGCGUGAGUGAUGAAGGUUUUCGGAUCGUAAAACUCUGUUGUUAGGGAAGAACAAGUACCGUUCGAACAGGGCGGUGCCUUGACGGUACCUAACCAGAAAGCCACGGCUAACUACGUGCCAGCAGCCGCGGUAAUACGUAGGUGGCAAGCGUUGUCCGGAAUUAUUGGGCGUAAAGCGCGCGCAGGCGGUUUCUUAAGUCUGAUGUGAAAGCCCCCGGCUCAACCGGGGAGGGUCAUUGGAAACUGGGGAACUUGAGUGCAGAAGAGGAGAGUGGAAUUCCACGUGUAGCGGUGAAAUGCGUAGAGAUGUGGAGGAACACCAGUGGCGAAGGCGACUCUCUGGUCUGUAACUGACGCUGAGGCGCGAAAGCGUGGGGAGCGAACAGGAUUAGAUACCCUGGUAGUCCACGCCGUAAACGAUGAGUGCUAAGUGUUAGAGGGUUUCCGCCCUUUAGUGCUGCAGCAAACGCAUUAAGCACUCCGCCUGGGGAGUACGGUCGCAAGACUGAAACUCAAAGGAAUUGACGGGGGCCCGCACAAGCGGUGGAGCAUGUGGUUUAAUUCGAAGCAACGCGAAGAACCUUACCAGGUCUUGACAUCCUCUGACACCCCUAGAGAUAGGGCUUCCCCUUCGGGGGCAGAGUGACAGGUGGUGCAUGGUUGUCGUCAGCUCGUGUCGUGAGAUGUUGGGUUAAGUCCCGCAACGAG